ensembl:snRNA U4 U4 spliceosomal RNA
AGCUUUGUGCAGUGGCAGUAUCGUAGCCAAUGAGGUUUAUCCGAGGCACGAUUAUUGCUAAUAGAAUAUCGACGAAGAAAUAAUCUGUAAUACAUCACUUUGAACAAUGUGGAUAUUAGAUUUUAGCUAUAAAUAUCAUGGUUCAGGCUUAAACAUUU